rnacentral:RNase_P_RNA from 1 species
GGAGUGGGACAGAUGGCCGCUGAUUUACCAUUAGGCAAAUUGGAGGAAAGUCCGGGCUUCGCAGGGCACGAUGGUCGGUAACGCCGACCGGCCGUGAGGCUAGGGAAAGUGCAACAGAAAGUAGACCGCCACAAUCUCCACCAAGCGGUGGUCGAUUGCGGUAAGGGUGAAACGGUGAGGUAAGAGCUCACCAGCAGCCGGGGUGACCCGGCUGGCUUGGCAAACCCCAUCGGAAGCAAGGUCAAACAGGAAGCAGACGGUGUUUCGGCACCGGCGCGAAUCGGCUCCGAUCCGUUAUCGACUUCCGGGUAGACCGCUCGAGGCGCCGAGCAAUCGGCGUCCCAGACAAAUGGUCAUCCCCAGCGCGGUCGCAAGACCGCACUGGAGACAGAACCCGGCUUACGGCCCACUCCUGGU